rnacentral:rRNA from 1 species
GAUAAACGCUGGCGGCGUGCCUAAUACAUGCAAGUCGAGCGAACGGACGAGAAGCUUGCUUCUCUGAUGUUAGCGGCGGACGGGUGAGUAACACGUGGAUAACCUACCUAUAAGACUGGGAUAACUUCGGGAAACCGGAGCUAAUACCGGAUAAUAUUUUGAACCGCAUGGUUCAAAAGUGAAAGACGGUCUUGCUGUCACUUAUAGAUGGAUCCGCGCUGCAUUAGCUAGUUGGUAAGGUAACGGCUUACCAAGGCAACGAUGCAUAGCCGACCUGAGAGGGUGAUCGGCCACACUGGAACUGAGACACGGUCCAGACUCCUACGGGAGGCAGCAGUAGGGAAUCUUCCGCAAUGGGCGAAAGCCUGACGGAGCAACGCCGCGUGAGUGAUGAAGGUCUUCGGAUCGUAGAACUCUGUUAUUAGGGAAGAACAUAUGUGUAAGUAACUGUGCACAUCUUGACGGUACCUAAUCAGAAAGCCACGGCUAACUACGUGCCAGCAGCCGCGGUAAUACGUAGGUGGCAAGCGUUAUCCGGAAUUAUUGGGCGUAAAGCGCGCGUAGGCGGUUUUUUAAGUCUGAUGUGAAAGCCCACGGCUCAACCGUGGAGGGUCAUUGGAAACUGGAAAACUUGAGUGCAGAAGAGGAAAGUGGAAUUCCAUGUGUAGCGGUGAAAUGCGCAGAGAUAUGGAGGAACACCAGUGGCGAAGGCGACUUUCUGGUCUGUAACUGACGCUGAUGUGCGAAAGCGUGGGGAUCAAACAGGAUUAGAUACCCUGGUAGUCCACGCCGUAAACGAUGAGUGCUAAGUGUUAGGGGGUUUCCGCCCCUUAGUGCUGCAGCUAACGCAUUAAGCACUCCGCCUGGGGAGUACGACCGCAAGGUUGAAACUCAAAGGAAUUGACGGGGACCCGCACAAGCGGUGGAGCAUGUGGUUUAAUUCGAAGCAACGCGAAGAACCUUACCAAAUCUUGACAUCCUUUGACAACUCUAGAGAUAGAGCCUUCCCCUUCGGGGGACAAAGUGACAGGUGGUGCAUGGUUGUCGUCAGCUCGUGUCGUGAGAUGUUGGGUUAAGUCCCGCAACGAGCGCAACCCUUAAGCUUAGUUGCCAUCAUUAAGUUGGGCACUCUAAGUUGACUGCCGGUGACAAACCGGAGGAAGGUGGGGAUGACGUCAAAUCAUCAUGCCCCUUAUGAUUUGGGCUACACACGUGCUACAAUGGACAAUACAAAGGGCAGCGAAACCGCGAGGUCAAGCAAAUCCCAUAAAGUUGUUCUCAGUUCGGAUUGUAGUCUGCAACUCGACUACAUGAAGCUGGAAUCGCUAGUAAUCGUAGAUCAGCAUGCUACGGUGAAUACGUUCCCGGGUC